rnacentral:rRNA from 1 species
GACGAACGCUGGCGGCGUGCUUAACACAUGCAAGUCGAACGAAGAGCGACGGAAGCUUGCUUCUAUCAAUCUUAGUGGCGAACGGGUGAGUAACGCGUAAUCAACCUGCCCUUCAGAGGGGGACAACAGUUGGAAACGACUGCUAAUACCGCAUACGAUCUAAUCUCGGCAUCGAGGAUGGAUGAAAGGUGGCCUCUACAUGUAAGCUAUCACUGAAGGAGGGGAUUGCGUCUGAUUAGCUAGUUGGAGGGGUAACGGCCCACCAAGGCGAUGAUCAGUAGCCGGUCUGAGAGGAUGAACGGCCACAUUGGGACUGAGACACGGCCCAGACUCCUACGGGAGGCAGCAGUGGGGAAUCUUCCGCAAUGGAUGAAAGUCUGACGGAGCAACGCCGCGUGAGUGAUGACGGCCUUCGGGUUGUAAAGCUCUGUUAAUCGGGACGAAAGGCCUUCUUGCGAAUAGUGAGGAGGAUUGACGGUACCGGAAUAGAAAGCCACGGCUAACUACGUG